AUUCUGCAAAAAAAAACUGAGCGUGUCUCUUGAGGUAAUCAUCGUUGUCACUUCGCAAAGUUGGAAUUGAAAACGUUGUCUAUCUCGAAAGGCUUAUCAGUUUCUCACUCACAAGGAAA
rnacentral:precursor_RNA from 15 species